CCUACGGGUGGCAGCAGUGGGGAAUAUUGGACAAUGGGCGAAAGCCUGAUCCAGCCAUGCCGCGUGUGUGAAGAAGGCCUUCGGGUUGUAAAGCACUUUCAGUGGGGAAGAAAGCCUUGGGGCUAAUACCCUCGAGGAAGGACAUCACCCACAGAAGAAGCACCGGCUAACUCCGUGCCAGCAGCCGCGGUAAUACGGAGGGUGCGAGCGUUAAUCGGAAUUACUGGGCGUAAAGCGCGCGUAGGCGGUCUGAUAAGCCGGUUGUGAAAGCCCCGGGCUCAACCUGGGAACGGCAUCCGGAACUGUCAGGCUAGAGUGCAGGAGAGGAAGGUAGAAUCCCCGGUGUAGCAGUGAAAUGCGUAGAGAUCGGGAGGAAUACCAGUGGCGAAGGCGGCCUUCUGGACUGACACUGACGCUGAGGUGCGAAAGCGUGGGUAGCAAACAGGAUUAGAUACCCCAGUAGUC
rnacentral:rRNA from 1 species